rnacentral:rRNA from 1 species
UACGAAGGGGGCUAGCGUUGCUCGGAAUCACUGGGCGUAAAGGGCGCGUAGGCGGCCUGGCAAGUCGGGGGUGAAAGCCUGUGGCUCAACCACAGAAUGGCCUCGAUACUGCCGGGCUUGAGACCGGAAGAGGUCAGUGGAACUGCGAGUGUAGAGGUGAAAUUCGUAGAUAUUCGCAAGAACACCAGUGGCGAAGGCGGCUGACUGGUCCGGUUCUGACGCUGAGGCGCGAAAGCGUGGGGAGCAAACAGG